rnacentral:pre_miRNA from 1 species
GUAAUAUAUGAUAUGGUCUCUUAGCUUUUAACUAAAAAAACUAAGAGACAUCUCUUAUAUCUCUUAUUUAAUAGACGUUUCUUAGCUUUUUUAGUUAAAAACUAAGACAUUGUAUCCUAUAUUAC